rnacentral:rRNA from 1 species
UACGUAGGUGGCAAGCGUUAUCCGGAUUUACUGGGUGUAAAGGGCGUGUAGGCGGGGACGCAAGUCAGAUGUGAAAACCACGGGCUCAACCUGUGGCCUGCAUUUGAAACUGUGUUUCUUGAGUACUGGAGAGGCAGACGGAAUUCCUAGUGUAGCGGUGAAAUGCGUAGAUAUUAGGAGGAACACCAGUGGCGAAGGCGGUCUGCUGGGCAGCAACUGACGCUGAGGCGCGAAAGCGUGGGGAGCAAACAGG